AGAGUUUGAUCAUGGCUCAGAUUGAACGCUGGCGGCAGGCCUAACACAUGCAAGUCGAACGGUAACAGGAAACAGCUUGCUGUUUCGCUGACGAGUGGCGGACGGGUGAGUAAUGUCUGGGAAACUGCCUGAUGGAGGGGGAUAACUACUGGAAACGGUAGCUAAUACCGCAUAAUGUCGCAAGACCAAAGAGGGGGACCUUAGGGCCUCUUGCCAUCGGAUGUGCCCAGAUGGGAUUAGCUUGUUGGUGGGGUAACGGCUCACCAAGGCGACGAUCCCUAGCUGGUCUGAGAGGAUGACCAGCCACACUGGAACUGAGACACGGUCCAGACUCCUACGGGAGGCAGCAGUGGGGAAUAUUGCACAAUGGGCGCAAGCCUGAUGCAGCCAUGCCGCGUGUAUGAAGAAGGCCUUCGGGUUGUAAAGUACUUUCAGCGGGGAGGAAGGGAGUAAAGUUAAUACCUUUGCUCAUUGACGUUACCCGCAGAAGAAGCACCGGCUAACUCCGUGCCAGCAGCCGCGGUAAUACGGAGGGUGCAAGCGUUAAUCGGAAUUACUGGGCGUAAAGCGCACGCAGGCGGUUUGUUAAGUCAGAUGUGAAAUCCCCGGGCUCAACCUGGGAACUGCAUCUGAUACUGGCAAGCUUGAGUCUCGUAGAGGGGGGUAGAAUUCCAGGUGUAGCGGUGAAAUGCGUAGAGAUCUGGAGGAAUACCGGUGGCGAAGGCGGCCCCCUGGACGAAGACUGACGCUCAGGUGCGAAAGCGUGGGGAGCAAACAGGAUUAGAUACCCUGGUAGUCCACGCCGUAAACGAUGUCGACUUGGAGGUUGUGCCCUUGAGGCGUGGCUUCCGGAGCUAACGCGUUAAGUCGACCGCCUGGGGAGUACGGCCGCAAGGUUAAAACUCAAAUGAAUUGACGGGGGCCCGCACAAGCGGUGGAGCAUGUGGUUUAAUUCGAUGCAACGCGAAGAACCUUACCUGGUCUUGACAUCCACGGAAGUUUUCAGAGAUGAGAAUGUGCCUUCGGGAACCGUGAGACAGGUGCUGCAUGGCUGUCGUCAGCUCGUGUUGUGAAAUGUUGGGUUAAGUCCCGCAACGAGCGCAACCCUUAUCCUUUGUUGCCAGCGGUCCGGCCGGGAACUCAAAGGAGACUGCCAGUGAUAAACUGGAGGAAGGUGGGGAUGACGUCAAGUCAUCAUGGCCCUUACGACCAGGGCUACACACGUGCUACAAUGGCGCAUACAAAGAGAAGCGACCUCGCGAGAGCAAGCGGACCUCAUAAAGUGCGUCGUAGUCCGGAUUGGAGUCUGCAACUCGACUCCAUGAAGUCGGAAUCGCUAGUAAUCGUGGAUCAGAAUGCCACGGUGAAUACGUUCCCGGGCCUUGUACACACCGCCCGUCACACCAUGGGAGUGGGUUGCAAAAGAAGUAGGUAGCUUAACCUUCGGGAGGGCGCUUACCACUUUGUGAUUCAUGACUGGGGUGAAGUCGUAACAAGGUAACCGUAGGGGAACCUGCGGUUG
rnacentral:rRNA from 1 species